rnacentral:rRNA from 1 species
GACGAACGCUGGCGGCGUGCCUAAUACAUGCAAGUAGAACGCAGUUGCGAACGGGUGAGUAACGCGUAGGUAACUGCCUCAUAGCGGGGGAUAACUAUUGGAAACGAUAGCUAAUAACGCAUACUGCGAGAUGGACCUGAGUUGUAUUAGCUAGUUGGUGAGGUAAAGGCUCACCAAGGCGACGAUCCAUAGCCGACCUGAGAGGGGGAUCGGCCAACCUUGGAAUGAGACACGGCCCAGACUCCUACGGGAGGCAGCAGUAGGGAAGCUUCGGCAAUGGACGGAAGUCUUACCGAGCAACGCCGCGUGAGUGAAUAAGGUUUUCGGAUCGUAAAGCUCUGUUGUUAGAGAAGCGGUAACUAUCCAGAAAGGGACGGCUAACUACGUGCCAGCAGCCGCGGUAAUUC